CGCGGUAAUACGUAGGUGGCAAGCGUUAUCCGGGAAUUAUUGGGCGUAAAGCGCGCGCAGGCGGGAAUAUUAGUCUAUCUUCAAAGUGCGGAGCUCAACUCCGUGAUGGGGUAGAAACUGUAUUUCUUGAGUGCAGGAGAGGAAAGUGGAAUUCCCAGUGUAGCGGUGAAAUGCGUAGAGAUUGGGAGGAACACCAGUGGCGAAGGCGACUUUCUGGACUGUGUCUGACGCUGAGGCGCGAAAGCCAGGGGAGUGAACGGGAUUAGAUACCCCGGUAAUCCUGGCUGUAAACGAUGGGUACUAGGUGUUGGGGGUAUCGACCCCUCCAGUGCCGGAGUUAACGCAAUAAGUACCCCGCCUGGGGAGCACGAUCGCAAGGUUGAAACUCAAAGGAAUUGACGGGGGCCCGCACAAGCGGUGGAGUAUGUGGUUUAAUUCGACGCAACGCGAAGAACCUUACCAGGGCUUGACAUUGAUUGAAACACCUAGAGAUAGGUGCCUCUCUUCGGAGACAAGAAAACAGGUGGUGCAUGGCUGUCGUCAGCUCGUGUCGUGAGAUGUUGGGUUAAGUCCCGCAACGAGCGCAACCCCUAUUCUAUGUUGCCAGCACGUGAAGGUGGGAACUCAUAGGAGACUGCCGUCGACAAGACGGAGGAAGGUGGGGAUGACGUCAAGUCAUCAUGCCCCUUAUGUCCUGGGCUACACACGUACUACAAUGGGCUUAAACAAAGGGAAGCAAGACCGCGAGGUGGAGCCAAUCCCAUAAAUAAGCUCUCAGUUCGGAUUGCAGGCUGCAACUCGCCUGCAUGAAGUCGGAAUCGCUAGUAAUCGCAGGUCAGCAUACUGCGGUGAAUACGUUCCCGGGCCUUGUACACACCGCCCGUCACACCACGAAAGUCUGCAACACCCGAAGC
rnacentral:rRNA from 1 species